GACGAACGCUGGCGGCGUGCUUAACACAUGCAAGUCGAGCGGUAAGGCCCUUUCGGGGGUACACGAGCGGCGAACGGGUGAGUAACACGUGGGUGACCUGCCCUCAGCUCUGGGAUAAGCCUGGGAAACCGGGUCUAAUACCGGAUAUGACUCCAUGACGCAUGUUGUGGGGUGGAAAGCCUUGUGCGGCUGAGGAUGGGCCCGCGGCCUAUCAGCUUGUUGGUGGGGUGAUGGCCUACCAAGGCGACGACGGGUAGCCGGCCUGAGAGGGCGACCGGCCACACUGGGACUGAGACACGGUCCAGACUCCUACGGGAGGCAGCAGGUGGGGAAUCUUGCGCAAUGGGCGAAAGCCUGACGCAGCGACGCCGCGUGAGGGAUGACGGCCU
rnacentral:rRNA from 1 species